rnacentral:lncRNA from 1 species
GCCCAGAUAAACAUGUUUGGGUUUUCUCUAUUGAGAAAGCAUCAAGAUGACCUCCACCCUAGCCAGUACUUGGGAGUUAAUGCUAUGACACUCUCUCUCUCACAGGUUGCUGUUUUCCCUCCACAAUACUGGGAAAGCCUUUAAGAUGUCUGCAGGCUUGGAACCACAGUUAGAUGAUACAUUCUCUGUUUUAACCAGUUGUUGAUGGAUUCGAAGAGCCGUCUCAUGGAUUCUUCAAACUCCAUCUGCUCUUUGCCUUCGUAAAGCCUGUGAGAAGACAUCUGGGUCAUUUCUCAAGCCAGCUAGCAGGACAUCUGAAAGGGGCAUGCUAACCAAAACCUCCCUUUCCGAUGUAGACAAAAGGUAGGAGGUAACGGCUCACUGGGGAGAGGGAGGAGCAGGUAUUGUAGCUAUCUGAGAGGAACCUUGGUGCUGUGCAUUGAACAGACACCUUGGGACUCACAGAGCAUUAGCCCCAGUACAGGGGAACGCCAGA